AGAGGAAGGAGAAGUCGUAACAGGUUUCCGUAGGUGAACCUGCGGAAGGAUCAUUG
rnacentral:rRNA from 1 species